AGUAGAAGAUCCUGAUUACCUUUUAGUCAUAGAUAGUUUCAUUAUGUUAUCUUUUAGGGUCUGGAAUACACUGACCAGUGUAUUAGACAAAAUUUUAUGAGAAUUGGUUAAAGAUAUAGGGAAGAAAUGUAUUUGGAAAAAAACAAACCAAACCAAACCAAAACAAAACAAAAACCAUUAUUUUGAGAGUAAAUACUUGGGGGGAAGAAGCUUGCAAGCCACCCGAAUAUGGCCUGGACUCUGGCGUGUGUGUGCGUGCUGGGGAGUAUCUUGGUGUUGGACUCUGGCAUGUGUGUGCGUGCUGGGGAGUGUCUUGAUGGUGAUGUUGUGUCAUUGCUUCAUUUUUGGCACUCAGUCACUACUCAAGAAAACCAGAUUGAAAAUUUGGAAUCUGUGCUUCAGUGGAUUGAAACUGGCCUCCAGUCACUAAGGAAAAAAUCAAAACAAAACACACAAGAAUUUAGAGAGAAUAUUUUUCUGCCAAAAAAUAAUUUUUCCUUUAUGCUAUUUCUUAUUUGGGUCAAUACUCCAAUGGAAAAAAUAGAUAGAUUGGUCAAGAGUUCAAUAUAAUUUUCUGUGACAUUUGAACUAAAGUAACUCAUAAAAACUUAAACACAGGAAAUUGUAUCCUCUCCUGCUGAUGUAUGUGUGACUAUUUGUCUCUCUUAAAAGAAAAAAGUAGAAGAAGAGAAUUAAUUGAAUGGUAUUUUGUUUUACUUGAGAUGUUAAACUAAUGUCAAACUAAUUUAUUUAUUCAAUAAAUAUUUAUUAAGCACCUACUACAUGCUGGUACUACAAGCCAGGUAUAGAUGCUUGGGAUGUAUUAAUGAGCAAAACAAAACCAGUAGCAAACUUGUACACGCAGAUAAGGGUUUCAAAUAUUGUUGGCAUGGGCCAGGUGCAAUGGAUCACACCUGUAAUCCUAGCACUUUGGGAGGCUCUUUAAAUAGAGACCCCCAUCUCUAUUUAAAGAAAAAAGAAAAAAAAUUAUUGUUGGCACAGUCAUAAAAAUGGGAACAGUAGACACAGGGGAAUACAAGAUUGGGGAAGGGAGUGAAGUAAAUGUUAAAAAAACUAUCUGUUGGGUACUAUACUCACUACCUGGAUGACAGGUUGGAUUCAUGCAUACUCCAAAACUCAGCAUCAUGCAAUAUACCCGGGUAACAAACCUGCACAUGUAUCCCCUGAUUCUAAAAUAAAAGUUCAAAAAAUAAAAAUAAAAUAAAAAUCAUUGGGCUUCUGAGACUCAUUUGUUAACUAAUUUAUUUUCUUGCUAUUAUUGCUAUCAUAAUGCUUGGCUAAAUAGCUGUUAUAAUUGCCUCAAUUUUGAAAAUAUCAGGUUUGUUCGUUUGUUUGUUUUUGAGAUGGAGUUUUGCUCUGUCACCCAGGCUGGGGUGCAAUUGAGCAAUCUCGGCUCACUGCAACCUCUUCCUCCCAGGUUUAAGCUAUUCUCCUGCCUCAGCCUCCUGAGUAGCUGGGAUUACAGGUACAAGCCACCAAGCCUGGCUAAUUUUUUGUAUUUUUAGUAGAGACGAGGUUUCACCAUAUUGGCCAGGCUGGUCUCGAACUCCUGACCUCCAGUGAUCUGCCCGCCUCAGCCUCCCAAAGUGCUGUGAUUACAGGCAUGAGCCACUGCUCCCGGCCUCAAAAUAUCAAUUAGAAUCUAGCUUCCUGCCCUUUGUUGAGCCAAAUGAUAUGAUAGGUGAGGAGAACUGGGAAACUUAGAGGAGGUUACGUAGAUCUUUACAAAAACAGAGGGGCUGACUCUGGGAUAAUAUGGAGAAUACUGGGGAAGAAAAGUAUUAUUCAAGUGAGGAAGAAUCCACAUAAAAGAAGAGAUUGGGAUUUCUUCUUUUUCUUACUUUCUUUCUUUUUUUUUUUUUUUUUUGAGACAGUCUCACCCAGGCUGGAGAGCAGUGGCGUGAUCUCGGCUUGCUGCAACCUCUGCCCUGCCAGGUUCAAGCAAUUCUCCUACCUCAGCCUCCUGAGUAGCUGGGAUUACAGGCACACACCACCAUGCCUGCCUAAUUUUUGUAUUUUUAGUAGAGAUGGGGUUUCACUAUGUUGGCCAGGCUGGUCUUGAACUCCUAACCUCAAGUGAUCCUCCCACCUCGGCCUCCAAAAGUGCUGGGAUUACAGGUGUGAGCCACCGCCCCUGGCCGACAAUAUCUUCUUGACAGAGGAUUUCAACUGGAGAAAGACUCCGCUUCCAGAAAGAUGACUGACU
rnacentral:lncRNA from 1 species